rnacentral:lncRNA from 1 species
CACAGGGCUACAGGUACACACACACACAGGGCUACAGGUACACACACACACACACACACACACACACACACACACACACAGGGCUACAGUUACACACACACAGGGCUACAGGUACACACUCACACACACACACACACACACACACACACAGGGAUACAGGUACACACACACACACAGGGCUACAGGUACACACACACACAGGGCUACAGGUACACACACACACACAGGGAUACAGGUACACACACACACACACACAGGGCUACAGGUACACACACACACACAGGGAUACAGGUACACACACACACACAGGGCUACAGGUACACACACACACACAGGGCUACAGGUACACACACACACACACACACACACACACAGGGCUACAGGUACACACACACACACACACACACAGGGCUACAGGUACACACACACAGGGCUACAGGUACACACACACACACACAGGGCUACAGGUACACACACACACACAGGGCUACAGGUACACACACACACACACACACAGGGCUACAGGUACACACACACACACACACACACAGGGCUACAGGUACACACACACACACAGGG